GACCCGUAUUUUUGGAAAAUUCUAUAAAGGUUAUAUAAAUACAAGAAGUUGAGGUUAAUGUGAAAUUUGUUGAGUUUAUUUGAUUUGGGGUUAAAGUGUUAGAAUCGAUACUUGAAGGCAUGUUUAUGUAAUUAGUAUAUAUGCUAGUAUAUAAGGGGUGUGUGUGUUGUAGGAGAUCAAAAAUCUCUCAUAUCUCUCUUUCUAUCUCUCACGCCUCUCAUCUCUCUCCAUCGUCUCUCUCUCUCUCUCUCUCUCUCUCUCUCUCUCACACACACACACACACACACACACACACACACACCAAAAAUCUCACUCAAACACUCAAAACCCACAAAGUCUAACCUCCAUUCCACCACCAUCUAUGCGUGCUCUCAAGCUUGUAGUUCGUUGGGUUAAGCUCAGAGAGGAGUAUUCUUGGAGGAUUUUGAAUUCAAAGUUCUAGGGCGUGCUUGAUCGGGUUGGAUCUUUGCUUAUACACCUUGAGGUACAUCCCAAGGAUAUUGACAUGAAGUGCAUGGUGUGCAUGCUUGACUUCAUAUCUUUUGAAAGCCGACAUUGAGAAGUUGCUCUAGCAUCUUUUGUAUGAUCUCUUUUGAAAAGAUGUAGUUGUAACUUCAUUUGAACUCUUUGACUUUGGAUAUCAUGUUAUCUCUAAAUUUACCGUCUUUGACCAACUAUGGAAUUUGGGCCGAGGUGCCGAUAUUGUAACUCCAUUUAAACUUGAUUUUACUCUUGGAUAAA